CUUCCUCUAUUUGUUGUACCUCCGAUCCAUGUAAUUCGUCUGUGGAAGUCGGCAAACAAAAUCUUUCUCAGUUCAUCGUACCUCCGACUCCCACUCCUCAGUUUGUAAUUAGACUCGUAUAUUUGCUGUGCUGGUUGAAAACUCCUAACGUACAAGACACAAGGCAUUUCAUCACCGCCCGCGUGAAUCACCAGGCUACAUUUUAGCGCCCUAACCUGUUAACGUUUGGGUUUAAAGGCUGUAGCGAUGUCCUUGCGACCUUUUUAAAUAUUAUUAAUCAAAGAAGCUACAAAAAAUUGAGCAAUGUUGAACAAAAGACAAAACUGACAAAAUUAUAAAGAGGCAAUAUUUUUAUCAAAAGGCUAGAAGAAAAAUAGCUUUGUCAGAUUAGUGUGUGAAAUUGGAGAUUUUAAUCAGCUAUGACUCCAGUAACCCAAUAACGGUGACUCCGACUCCGUGGCCGUGUCUGUCGCUGUGCUACUCAAAUGGAUUCCCUAGCAGGUAUCCACCUCUCUGGCGUGUGCUAAUCAAAGUGCAGCCUUAUUUCUGUCACCCGCUCACUCUCCUCACUCACGCUGUUGCCAAGCAAAUGCAGGACAGGACAGGACAGGACAGGACAGGACGUGGCUUUUGCGUGUUCUCCCUCUUUGUUCCAGACUGCCAUCUUUAAACAUGCAGCACAUAUGACAUCAAACUCUUUUAAUGUAAUGUAGACUUGUGGGGUCCCGGAGCAAACACCCACCAGGCCGUACUGCACGCCACUGUUAUUAGUUGUUCUGAAUGGGCUAAGCUCACUUAUUACCCACAGUUCCCUUACACAGUCAUGGAUUUGUAUUGCACAUGCCCGUUUUUAUUUCUGUCAUGUCAUUUUCUAACCCAUUCGGUCCUGAUCAGGGUUGACAUCCCAGGUAGCAUAAGGGUGUAAGGCAGGAACAAACCCCUCUCAAACACCUACCAAAUUCCCCAUAACACCUCCCCCCCAAAAAAAAAUUCACGUAAUCUGCAUGUCUUUGGGAGGGCACCAGAGCACCUGAAGAAGCCCACACAGAGAUGGGAAGAACAUGCAAACUCCACGCAGGGAUGUAAACCCUGGACUCCUUACUUUGAGGCAGCAGCACCCCCCAUGGCCCCCUUGGUAUAGAAGGUCUGCACACUUUUUCCAUUAAAUUUCGCCUACUGGUAAAAUGUUUUUUUUUUUUUUUUUUCUCCUGCACUCACCUGGAAUGGCGGACAACCUUCUUUAUUUAUUGCUCACUCCUCAUCUCCACAAAAACAUUUUUGCUGAGUUCCCUAAUCAUUGUUUGAUCUGGGGGCAACUAUUUAUUUUUUGGAUAACCCAACUGCUUUAUUGCCAUCGUGUACUGACAGUUUACACACACGUCAUUACGACUGAGAACAUUUGUUUCAAAAAGGGCCUUGCAGAACGACGGAGAUGCUAUCUGCAGUUGCAUUUUGUUUUAUUCCAGGUUGAUGUGUAAUUUGUUGUAGCUGUGCUCUUUUGUAUGGAGCCAUAAUUAGAUAAAUGUGGCAAUAAAUAAAUAAAAAUCAAAAUGACAUCCAUCCAUCCAUUAUUCAACCCGCUAUAUCCUAACUACAGGGUCACUGGGGUUCUGCUGGAGCCAAUCCAAGACAACCCAGGGAACAAACCCCGGGCAGGGUGCCAGCCCACCGCAGUACAGUGACAUGCAAAAAUAAAAAAUAAAUUGUUCCAUGAAAUACUUGUAACUUUUUAUUGAAUGCAUGUCAUUAUCCAUCCAUCCAUUAUCCAACCUGCUAUAUUCUAACUACAGGGUCAUGGGGGGGUCUGCUGGAGCCAAUCCCAGCCAACACAGGGUGCAAAGCAGGAAACAAACCCCAGGCAGGGCGCCAGCCCACUGCAGAUAAUUAAUAAUACAUAUUAAUAUAAUAAUUGCAUAUUUUUAAAUUGUCUAAAAUAUUUCUUCAUGCUUUUGCACAAGACCUGACUGUCCUGCAUUGUUUUGCUGGUUUGAAAGUCUUUCUGACGACUCUCUGUAAUUCUGUAAAUGUCUUCUUGUAUAAACUGCAUUUUAGUUUGCAGAUAUCUUCCUCAAAAUUACAGUCUUGUUUUUCCAGGAAUUUAUGUACGAAUUAAAUGAAGAAAUGAGAAAAAUGUACAGAAAGAAAACUGAAUGAUACAGA